GACGAACCCGUACGAACGUUAUUCGGAAUCACUGGGCUUAAAGGGUGCGUAGGCGGCGCAGAAAGUAGGGUGUGAAAUCCCUCGGCUUAACCGAGGAACUGCGCCCUAAACUACUGUGCUCGAGGGAGAUAGAGGUGAGCGGAACUUAGGGUGGAGCGGUGAAAUGCGUUGAUAUCCUAAGGAACACCGGUGGCGAAAGCGGCUCACUGGAUCUCUUCUGACGCUGAGGCACGAAAGCUAGGGUAGCGAACGGGAUUAGAAACCCGAGUAGU
rnacentral:rRNA from 1 species